UUGUCACUGCUCCAAGUCUCUCAAUGAACUUUGCUUAUACAGCUCAUGAUAGCUCGAUUAUCAGCAGUGAUUUUCUAGACCUGCAAAGUUUUUUGAUUUGGUCAUUUUUCCUUGGUGUUAGUGCUUCUACCACAAGACAUUGCUGUUCUUCGUCAUGGAUGGUUUUGUUCGGAACAAAUUAACUGAAUGGGAUCUCAGUGAGUGGACUGAAAAAUUUCAAGCUACACCUUCUUCAGCGAGCCAUGGCCCCAAGGUAGAGGGCUCUGCCUGUGCUAAUAUUAAGGUUACAAUAUCGUAACCUUUGUUCGAUCUCACACAUGCUCCGCCCUCGCUGAACUCUUUGGGUACAGAGGGUCCGCUGAAUGAACGCCCUGUUGUGACAUAACAUCAACCCAGCUUCACUGAUCCUGACCAG